rnacentral:tRNA from 1 species
GGUCCUAUGGUCUAGUGGUUAGGACGCCGCCCUCUCACGGCGGUAACAGGGGUUCGAAUCCCCUUAGGACUA